GCCAGUGUGGAGUAGUGGUUUGAGUGUUAGUCUACGACUCUGGAGACCAGGGUUCAGUUCCCGCUCUGCCA